CUGCAGCUGACUGGCCCUCCUCCCCGUGGGGGCCAGGUGUGCAGUGGCUGCAGUCAGCAGCCUCCUUGGUAGUGUACGUGGCCUGUUGCCUGUAUAAGUUGCCUGGAGACAGCC
rnacentral:snoRNA from 1 species